GAAAAAUAAAACUCAUUAUCUAUGUUGCAUGGACAGCAUGGUCAACGUUUAUUCGUAAAUCUGGUCCUUCGCCAUCACGUGUGUAUUGUAUUUUUGCCCAACUUGAACCAAUCGCAAUUUCCAAUUUACCUGCAGUUUGUUCGAAUCACGGCACAGAAUAAAGAUCAGUAACAGAAGGGCCACUCAGCGGUGCAACGUGUCCGCGUUUUUUUUAUGCAAAAAUAUGCAGUUUACUGGCCAGAAGGCGGAGCAGCCAGCCAGUACAGCGUGUUUAUUGGCCAGAAAAUGUCAUUGACUGGCGCCGGCUAGGAAAAUGGCGACCAACAUGCGUAAUGCGACAUGCGCGAGGCCCUUCUGUAUGGAUCUUUAUUCUAUGAUCACGGAUAGAUAGCUUUUCUAAAACAUUGCUAUUGGUUAGUUGGGCAAAAAUACAAUAUGCACGUGACGGUGAAGGACCAGAUUGGUGAAUAAACGUUGACUAUAUAAACCUAAUAAAACACUCCUGCUCGUUUAUUAAACAGUACAUAGUAAUAAUAAUACUUUGGAAUACUAGCCCAAUGCUCUGCCAACUGAGGUACGCGGUCAGGUCGGUUCGAGUAAGUGAUAUUUCAAUCAUGCCACUACAUAACCCGCGAACAGGCAUACUCUGGGAACGAGAUUGGUGAUAUUUCGGAACUGAAUCUGGUUCCUUCGAUGUGCCAGGAGAAUUUCGACGUUUCGAC